rnacentral:rRNA from 1 species
CACGGGUAGAUCUCCCACCCUUGAAUACUAUACCUUUGUUGCUUUGGCGGGCCGCUUUGGCUACUGGCUCCGGCUGGUGAGUGCCCGCCAAAGGACCCCAAAACUCUGAAUAUUUGUGUCGUCUGAGUACUAUAUAAUAGUUAAAACUUUCAACAACGGAUCUCUUGGUUCUGGCAUCGAUGAAGAACGCAGCGAAAUGCGAUAAGUAAUGUGAAUUGCAGAAUUCAGUGAAUCAUCGAAUCUUUGAACGCACAUUGCGCCCCUUGGUAUUCCGAGGGGCAUGCCCGUUCGAGCGUCAUUAUAACCCCUCAAGCCCAGCUUGGUGUUGGGGCCUGCUGUUACCGGCAGCCCUUAAAAUCAGUGGCGGUGCCAUCUGGCUCUAAGCGUAGUAAUACUUCUCGCUACAGGGUCCUGGUGGAUGCUUGCCAUCAACCCCUAAAUUUCUAUGGUUGACCUCGGAUCGGGUAGGGAUACCCGCUGAACUUAA